GCCAGAAGUAUGAGUAAGGGAGAAAGGUUACACUUUUGUUUAGUACAAGUUUCGAUGGCAAAUAAAAGGUUUGAGUUUUCCCAAAGGUCUAGUUAAAGCCAAAACAAGGAAACAUCAAUUUUGUUCCAUGGUUUUGUUCCCUUACUUGGAAAAAAGUAAAGGUUCAUUAUUUUUCCUAAAGAGGUCUGCAAUGAAGAAAGAGAAGAACCUUCGAGACUAUGAACAUCAUUUAAUCCAGACCACUGUGAACACGUAUAUUUCAGGAGGGAAAAAGCGGCCAUGUGAUGAAGAAACUGAAGCAAAGAGAGGGAGGAAAUUUGCCUAAGGGCCAUAGCUGACUGUGGCAGAAUGGUUUUAAAUGGAGCGCCUCUGACCCUAGAGUCUUUGCUCUUCACCACUACGUAUAGCUUUGGUGACUGGCCAAGAGUUCCAGAGAAAGCACAAGAUCAGCUAAACUGGACAUGAAAUCCAGCAUGAAAUCUAUCAACCAAAAUUUGAUCCCACAUCUGGCUCCCAAAUCCGGUUUUAAAGCUCUGCAAGACAUCCUGGUAGUGACCUUUGCAAUGAAUAUUUAUUGCUAUCUGUGUUAAAAGCUAUAAUAUUCCUUACUAUUCUGGGCCUACAAUAGGCAGUUAAUAAAUAUUUAAUAAUUUAAUUACCUAUCUUUUAAACUCAUCAUGUUGCAUUGAUUUUAUAGAAGAGUGCUCCUGAUAUAGAUAAUUUGCUUAUAUUGACAUUCACAUCUUAAAUCAUAUUUUAAUUGAUUCCAUUACAUAA